rnacentral:rRNA from 1 species
CUUAUUUCGGUAGGCUUCUAGUGGCGAACGGGUGAGUAACACGUUGGUGACCUGCCCCGAAGUGGGGGACAACUCCUCGAAAGAGGAGCUAAUACCCCGGAUGUCUGAGUGGUUAGAAGACUCAGACUAAAGUUUUUCGGAAUGCUUUGGGAGGGGCCUGCGGGCUAUCAGCUAGUUGGUGAGGUAAAGGCUCACCAAGGCGAAGACGGCUAGGGGGCGUGAGAGCGUGACCCCCCACAAGGGAACUGAGAAACGGUCCCUACUCCUACGGGAGGCAGCAGUGAGGAAUAUUGAGCAAUGGGCGCAAGCCUGACUCAGCAACGCCGCGUGGAUGACGAAGGCCUUCGGGUUGUAAAAUCCUUUUCUGGGGGAAGAUAAUGACGGUACCCCAGGAAUAAGUUCCGGCUAACUACGUGCCAGCAGCCGCGGCAAAACGUAGGGGACGAGCGUUAUCCGGAUUUACUGGGCGUAAAGCGCAUGUAGGUGGCGCGGAAAGUUGGACGUGAAAGCUCCCGGCUUAACUGGGAGAGGUCGUACAAAACUACCGAGCUUGAGGUUGGAAGAGGAGAGCGGAAUUCCCGGUGUAGUGGUGGAAUGCGUAGAUAUCGGGAGGAACACCAGUGGCGAAAGCGGCUCUCUGGUUCAAUACUGACACUGAGAUGCGAAAGCGUGGGGAGCGAACGGGAUUAGAUACCCCGGUAGUCCACGCUGUAAACGA